UUCUUUCUUUUUUUUUUUUUUUUUUUAAAGGCAGCCUGAGUCACAGCAGAUUGUUCAAUAAACGCCUCAUACCCGGGAUAAAGGGAGACAUUAUGGGAUGCCCAGGGGGGCUUUGGAAAUCAAAUACCAUGUUUGAAGUAGAACAAUUUGAGGUACAUUACAGAAAAGGCAAUUUGAAUUGCCAAUGAGGCGAUGCAUAUCUGCAUGUUAAUUAGAGCCGUGUCAGGCUCCAGUCUGCAGCUCGCUCUUGAUGGGCAGGAAUGUGCUUGUAGCUCUGCUGGGAGACGGCUUUUUUCCGAAUAAAUUAACUAGCUUUGUUCUACUGCUUAUUUUCCCGCAAACAAACAUGAAAUGCGCGAUCAAAAGGUGCGUCCGAAAUUAAAAUUAUUGAUUGAUAUAGUGGCCGUUUGAGAAUCUAAUUAAAUAAGACGUGGACAAAAGCUGAUAUAAUAGAUUGUCUCUGAGCUAGCAGUCAGAUUGCGCCAGGACUGCAAUUUAUCUUUCUCAAUGCAACCUGGAUAUUAAAAAUUGUAAUUACAGUGGUGAAAUGAUCUGAUCCGAACUAACCACCCCAUGGAAUCCUGUAUUUUUUUGUUCUUUAAAGGAAAACAUGAAAAAUGAAUGGAUGUGGAAAAGGCUACCCUGAGAAAGGGCUGAAAGACCUUGAGGGGAGUGACCUCAUAAGAAUCCGGGCAGCAGUACCGAAGGACAGGACUAUGUUCAUUAUUAGGGUUCUGGCCGAACAAAGGUGCAGUCUCAUCUUCCUUGGCUGCCCAGGGCAAGGAAUUCCAGAGGACAGGAGAGGAGGAACCAAAGGAACGUCAGUUGACACGGAACAGCAACCCAGACAACACGCAGAGGGGGGGCAGGCAGGGAAGCUCAAAGCACACCCAGAGGUGUUCCCUUUCAACACGCCCCAUCCCUCUCAGGGUUGGCGGGCUCAAAACGGGGGAACGUGGCGGGAUCAACGCGAAUCCCCUCGAUCUCGCUUCAACCGCUUGUAUUUAUCACAAUACUGUCGUUUCUUGUCGCACCUUUGAAUGACCUAAAGUGUCAGAAAAAUUCAAGCUUCGGGGAAAUGUGUGUUUAGCGUCUUUGCCCCUUUUAAGCUCGGCACAGUAUUGGGCCACGCACUAUAGCUCCUUAUUUUUAUAGUUACUAAAAUUGCAGGAGAAUAGUACUUGCUUAAAAAGGCAAGCGUACCCUAGCAGAACCAGGCUAAUGUCAUCCCAUAAUAAGCACCGCACAAUGGAAAUACUACAGGUUCACAAGCCGUACUGCAGGUUCUGGGAAAAGGCACAGAACAGGUAAAUUAUAAGGCUAAAAUCUUUUAGUGUGCAAUGAAAUAUGCUGAGUAUAUACAUGAAAAGAAAAUACCACCACCCCCCCCACACACACACACACCAUUUGUUGUACUUCAAAGGUAAACUAAAGCCAGAUGUGUUCAUACUGUAUUUCAAGGAUAUCUGCUGGAACUGUGCUUUCUUUUUUAAGCUGCUGUUAAAAUGUCAUUGUACUUUGCACAUGGAGGAUUAACUCUUCAUGUGCAUGGUUACCUCACACAUCGUUUGACUUCAUUUCGCAACUUCUACCAUUGUGAUUGGCUCCAGUGUUAGAUGCAUUUCUGAGCAUGCACAUUCAUCAUUUAUUUCCAAAAUGAAAAUUAUUCAUGUUUUUGGAAAAAAGAUAUGACAGAAUUAAAUUAUACAAACUGAACUACGCCAAAAAUUCCAUAUCCUUCUUUCACAAAUCGUCUAAUCAAAUUUCUAUAAAUACAACAAUCAUCAAUCAAGACAAGCUAUGUUGCAUAUUUCUCUCUCAUGUAUUAAUCUUAUUGUGGACAAGGUAUGAAAGAAGUGUACAAAUUUAAUGCAUUUAUUUUAUUCCAUUACACUCCAAUUAACAACAUACAAUGAUCCAUGCUAUUUAAUCACUGCUGAGAUACUGCAACAUUUUAUUCCAUUGGAAGUUUCAUUUAUCAACUGCAUAAUUUACUCAGUCAAACAAGCAUCAAUAUGGGAUUAUUACUUGGCGACCCACAUGCUUCAUGAUAUACCUGCAGCAUUUGACCCUCAGUAGCUAUCUAUCCAACAGCAUGGCACCUAGCUGGAGGUCCCUCAUUUUUCCCAUCAGUCAUUUAAACCAAUUAAUGACUUCUCAAUAUAAACUAUGAGAUCUCUGAGCAAGACUGGGAGGAGUAAUUCAGAGAGCCAUUUUCGUCAAAAUCCCAUUAGGAAGGUGAAAAAGACUCGUUGAUGUCAUAAAACUGAGGGAUUUUGUUUAAGGACUGGUAGGUGUUACAGAGCAGAUUACCGCUGGCUUUGUUUUCUUUCUUGUAAAAUUACAUUUCGGAGUUACUGGCUUUGAGUCACAACAAAAUAAAAUUUCUCACUUUGAGGUUCCAAACAUCAAGCACUCUUUUUGCUGUCAACAACUUGUAAUGGAAGAGCAAGGCUUCAUGUUAUUACAUAAAGUGUGCAGGCACAUGUAUAUGUGCUCUCAACCAAUCCACUAUAUGAACAAAAUAAAAUAACUGAUUUACGUUCAAAUCUAAUAUUAAAGACAGGGAAAUACCGGUAAGACCCUACAGAUCCAUUAGGUCUGCAGUUUAUGAAACUUUUUUUCUCCUAUCACUUCCUUAUAAUAUAUAACAACUGGUCAAAUGACCUGGAUUCUGUAUGACAGGCCACAGACAAUA